GUAGGGGGCAAGCGUUGUCCGGAUUUAUUGGGCGUAAAGCGCUCGCAGGUGGUUCGUCGCGUCGUGCGUGAAAGACCCCGGCUCAACUGGGGAGGGUCGUGCGAUACGGGCGGACUGGAGGCCAGUAGGGGGAUGCGGAAUUCCGGGUGUAGUGGUGGAAUGCGUAGAGAUCCGGAGGAACACCAGCGGCGAAGGCGGCAUCCUGGACUGGUCCUGACACUCAGGAGCGAAAGCGUGGGGAGCGAUCCGGAUUAGAUACCCGGGUAGUCCACGCUGUAAACGAUGCGCACUAGGUGUCGGGGGUAUCGACCCCCUCGGUGCCGCAGCUAACGCGAUAAGUGCGCCGCCUGGGGACUACGGCCGCAAGGCUA
rnacentral:rRNA from 1 species